AAUGAACGCUGGCGGCGUGCCUAAUACAUGCAAGUCGAGCGAACAGACGAGGAGCUUGCUCCUUCGACGUUAGCGGCGGACGGGUGAGUCACACGUAUGUAACCUACAUAUAAGACUGGGAUAACUUCGGGAAACCGAAGCUAGCACCGGAUAAUAUUUCGAACCGCAUGGUUCGAUAGUGCAAGAUGGCUUUGCUAUCCCUUAUAGAUGGACCUGCGCCGUAUUAGCUAGUUGGUAAGGUAACGGCUUACCAAGGCGACGAUACGUAGCCGACCUGAGAGGGUGAUCGGCCACACUGGAACUGAGACACGGUCCAGACUCCUACGGGAGGCAGCAGUAGGGAAUCUUCCGCAAUGGGCGAAAGCCUGACGGAGCAACGCCGCGUGAGUGAAGAAGGUCUUCGGAUCGUAAAACACUGUUAUUAGGGAAGAACAAACGUGUAAGUAACUGUGCACGUCUUGACGGUACCUAAUGAGAAAGCCACGGCUAACUACGUG
rnacentral:rRNA from 1 species